rnacentral:lncRNA from 1 species
AUGUCGCAGUGCCGUGACUUCAGGGGAGCUGCCUUCUCGCCGUGUGACCUUCAAAGAGCAAUGCCACCUCCAUGGAGCUUCCAUUAUCUCAGCUUCUGUACAAAAAUACCACAGAUUUGGCUAAAUGAAAUGAGGCUCGAUCUCACCGUACUAAAGACUGAUUUCCCGAUCAAGGCCAGUGGAAAGGAGAGUGUCCUCUGUGUAAUAAGCUCUGUGCCAGGCAUUAUCAACCAUGACAUAUCUUCGGUCCUACUGUCUAGAAUACCAUACUGCAUUCAUUCUGUUACAUGCCUGAGGUGCUCUCAGAGGACUCUGGGUCUCUCGAGGUCCAGAAGGUAUGGCCCUGUCCCAUUAAUUGCUGUAUUUCUAGCACCUAUACCUAUGCUCAUUCAAGCCAGUGCUGUAUGCUGCUCAAGUUUACCUAUAGUUUUUUGGCUGUGUUUUUGUUGUUGUUGUUGUUGUUUUGUUUUAAUUUUGUUUUGUUUUUAUGUUUUAUAAUUUUUUUUGUAAUGUUUAUUUUUGCGAUAGAGACAGAGACAGAGUGUGAGGAGGGAGGGGCAGAGAGGGAGACACAGGAUCCGAAACAGGCUCCAGGCUCCCAGCUGUCAGCCCAGAGCCCCACAGGGGCUUGAACCCAUGAAUUAUAGAGUUCAUGAACUGAGCCAAAGCCGGACACUUAACCGACUGAGCCACCCAGGCACCCUAAUUGUGUUUUGUGUUUUUUUUUUUUUUCAACGUUUAUUUAUUUUUGGGACAGAGAGAGACAGAGCAUGAACGGGGGAGGGGCAGAGAGAGAGAGGGAGACACAGAAUCGGAAACAGGCUCCAGGCUCCGAGCCAUCAGCCCAGAGCCUGACGCGGGGCUCGAACUCACGGACCGCGAGAUCGUGACCUGGCUGAAGUCGGACGCUUAACCGACUGCGCCACCCAGGCGCCCCUGUGUUUUGUGUUUUAAUGGGCAGCAUCUCUUUUGAUUGGGCAGUGACCGUAGUUGGCUAGUUCGCAAAUAUUGUAAAUACUGGUACUGGUUAGGUGUUCAGAGGGUGUUGAAUGGAUACGUUUGAUUUUCACAGUACACAUGAAGCUAGUGUUUAUAACUGCAGUCUGCAGACAGGGCAACUGAGGCUCAGGGAGGGUUUAUACAACUUCCACAUUCCCUCAGAGCAUGGGAGAGAGCCAGGAUUUGAAAUCUGUUCUGUCUAUUCCAAAGUCCAAAUGCUUUCUCUAUUUUGUGUUGGCUGUUAUGAGUCUUUUUUAAACAGUCCAGUAUUGAAUACUUAGGGCAUUUGAUAACUCGGUUUUUAUUUUUUUAACUCUACAUCAUACAGGAAGGAAAACAACAAAUGAAUUUGUGCACAGAGCUGGUUUCAUAGCUUGCUGUCUGCCAAGCAGGCAUGAGCAAGACUUCCAAGGCGUAGACACAACACACCCUAAUCCUUCAAGUUUAAGGUGUUCAUAUGCAAGUGGAAAAUCCCAUGCUAAAUAAUCAAGACGGAGUUAACUCUCACCUCCUUUUAAAAUCCUCCCUUAAAGAUUCGCAUGCAUCACAAUGAAAAACACAAGCUUGAGCUACGAGAACAUUUCUGUUCCUUAAGCCGCCCAAUUUGUGGUGUUGUUAUGUCAGCCCAGGCUGACUAAUACUCAGUGGAAACAGCUUUUUCUGAGGGAAGUCUGGUUGAACCAAGACCACACUAGGCUUAGUUGACCUGUCGUGCAGAUACUGGCUAAAAACGGGUAGUUACCAGGUUUCGUAUUCUCAUGCUCUAAAAUAAAUGUUGCGAGUCAGUAAACCCUCA